GAUGAACGCUGGCGGCGUGCUUAACACAUGCAAGUCGAACGGUGAAGCAGGAGCCUACUCUUGUGGAUCAGUGGCGAACGGGUGAGUAACACGUGAGCAACCUGCCCCUGACUCUGGGAUAAGCGCUGGAAACGGCGUCUAAUACUGGAUAUGUGAUGUGACCGCAUGGUCUGCAUCUGGAAAGAAUUUCGGUUGGGGAUGGGCUCGCGGCCUAUCAGCUUGUUGGUGAGGUAAUGGCUCACCAAGGCGUCGACGGGUAGCCGGCCUGAGAGGGGGGCCGGCCACACUGGGACUGAGAGACGGCCCAGACUCAUACGGGAGGCAGCAGUGGGGAAUAUUGCACAAUGGGCGGAAGCCUGAUGCAGCAACGCCGCGUGAGGGAUGACGGCCUUCGGGUUGUAAACCUCUUUUAGCAGGGAAGAAGCGAAAGCGACGGUACCUGCAGAAAAAGCACCGGCUAACUACGUGCCAGCCGCCGCUGUAA
rnacentral:rRNA from 1 species